UGUAAUACAUGGGAUCCGGUAAUGUGGU
rnacentral:sRNA from 1 species